rfam:Asian citrus Psyllid, Diaphorina citri - Florida Strain, whole genome shotgun sequence.
GCUCCUAUGGCGUAGUAGUGGUCACUGCACUCGCCUUGCACGCGGGAGACCCGGGUUCGAUUCCCGGCGGGGUCA